rnacentral:rRNA from 1 species
UACGUAGGGGGCAAGCGUUGUCCGGAAUCAUUGGGCGUAAAGAGCGUGUAGGCGGCCCGGUAAGUCCGCUGUGAAAGUCCAGGGCUCAACCCUGGAAUGCCGGUGGAUACUGCCGGGCUAGAGUCCGGAAGAGGCGAGUGGAAUUCCUGGUGUAGCGGUGAAAUGCGCAGAUAUCAGGAGGAACACCGAUGGCGAAGGCAGCUCGCUGGGACGGUACUGACGCUGAGACGCGAAAGCGUGGGGAGCAAACAGG